ACAGUAUAACACACAGAUAUAUCAAUGUCUAAUUUCUCCAAUUUCGAAUUCCCCUUCAAACGACAGUUGCAUUUAAAUGAUAGCUGUUCACAUGUGCAACUGCGACCCUUCCAUACAUAUUUGAAUGGAAACAUGUGGUGCCACUAACUGAAGAAAUGUCAAUCAAAACACUGCACACUGAUAAUCUUGGGUGUGUUAUCAGUCUUGGACACAUCCAUCUCUCAACCCUACCAAAAUGUUCACGAUUUCAAAUCAGAAGAUGAUUAUCACAUCGAAAGAUUGUUGAAUAAAACAGGAUGUUGCAGUUCUUCACAGUUAAGGAUUUAUUAAGACAAAAUGAUAUGCCCUGGAUUUCAAUGUAAAAGAAAAUGAAUACCCUCAUGACACCACUUGCAGCAACAUUUCAGAGAAAUGAUUAAAGUGUCGUAAACAAAUCAAAAGAUGACACCCAAGAAACUUGUUGAGGCUGUUUUACUUUGACUGAUGAAAAAAUGCUAUGAACCUUUGGAGACCAAGGAAUUGGAAUCGUCUCUAUUAUGAGGGAAAGAUGUAACCGAGAAAGAAACAUGGUUGACCUUCAUCACAACUUUGGUUUAAUUUCGUGGUAGAAAGGAAAAAUACUGUGGGUAUUAACCUGUUAACCAAGACAUUGUAAUAUGUGAUCACAAUGCCAUUCAGUGAAAAAGCCCUUUGAGUUGAUACAUGAACACCGCACAUUGCACAUGCUUGUUCCGAAGUGGAAAAAUUUGUUUGUUCCUGUACCUAGUUUAUAUUAUGCUUAAAGAAAGCCUUAAUUCAAAAAGUACUUUAUAAAAUGACAAAAUGAUUUUUCAUAUAUAUUUUGUAGAGUGUGUACAGAUAAAAAAUGUUUCUAUGAAUAUGUACUGCAUUUCAUAUAAAAGAGAGAAAUGUUUCCCAAAUUCUUCAUGUACGAUAAAAACUAAUAUAAUAUCACAAAACACAUGAUAAUGUUAGAGAGGAACGUUCCUUUAAAGAUAUUUUUAAGUGGGCUUUGCAAUGUAUCAACAGAUAUUCAUUACAAGACAGAGGAACGUUCCUCAAAUGCACGGGUUGCAAGCUUCAUGAGGUAUAAGUAAUCAACAGAAAUACAACCAUUUGUGAGAGGAACGUUCCUCAAAUGCCUGAUUUAAUAUGAAUAAGGUUUCAACAUAUACAAAUCUGAGAGAGGAACGUUUCUCAUAUGUGUAAGUAUCCUGUGUGAACAAUGUUAAAUUUUAGUGAGGAACGUUCCUGAAAUGCCUAAUGUUUUACAAUUCAUGAGACAACCAUUUGUGAGAGGAACGUUCCUCAAAUGCCUGAUAUUUGACAAUCCUUGAGAUGCCUACAGUAAUAAUUAAAUUCGAGCGAGGAACGUUCCUCAAAUGCCUGAUGUUUGACCAUUCAUGAGAUGUCUUCAGAAAAAGUGAAUUUGAGAGAGGAACGUUCCUAAAAUGUCUCAUGUGUUAAGAUUCUUAAAGUAUUUAAAAAUACACGCUGUAUGUGCACAUGUAAGAGAGGAACGUUACUCAAAUGUCUAGUGAUAAUAAAUUCAUCUUAGUUUAGAGAGAGGAAUGUUCCUCAAAUGUCUGGUCAUAACAAAUGCAUCUGAAGUUCAGAGAGAGGAACGUUCCUCAAAUGUCUGGUCAUAACAAAUGUAUCUGAAGUUAAGAGAGAGGAACGUUCCUCAAAUGUCUGGUCAUACUAAAUGAAUCUGAAGUUCAGAGAGAGAGAGAGAGAGAGAGAGAGAGAGAGAGGAACGUUCCUCAAAUGCUUGGUUAUAAGAAAUGCACCAGAAGUGUAGAAAGAGGAACGUUCCUCAAAAGUCUGGUCAUAACAAAUGCAUCUGAAGUGUAUAAAGAGGAACGUUCCUCAAAUACUUAAGAAAAAUCUUCAAAAAAGGAACUUGUGGAGACACAAAUAAGGAU